rnacentral:ncRNA from 1 species
AUAAACACGAAGAACAGAAGAAGUAAACAACUAGUUUGUUUUUAGAGAGGCGACGGAAGGUGAAAGUCGUUACAAAGUAGGUGUUGAAAUGCCUCUGGGAGUGGUUUUAGCGAACACAAGUAGCUAAAAACGGGUAGCAGACGUUAUUUUGCUUCGAGGUAAUCUGUUUUGAUUAUGAAAAAAAGUGGAACCACGCCAUUAGCGUCUUUUAU